GAUCGAGGAGUGUGUGAAAAGCGUGAAUCAUUGGAGCAAUCGAAUUCGGAGCUAGCUAUCGAUUUUGGCAAAAAGGACAUCGAAAGGGAUCUCAGAAGCAGUCGUCGCAAAUCAGGUGAGCCCUAGAAUUGGUGGACUUGGAGCUGGGCGGGAUUCAGAGUGGCCAUGAAGAUUGAUUGACGAUUUUAAAUAAGUUUAGCCUUCAAUUUGGAUUAUUUUAUUUUUAUUAUGCUUAAGGUUGUAAUAAGGCCGCUCUUUUUAAUUACUUUUAUUUUGGGGAUUAUUAAACUGGCUAGCACUAGGGUUCAUUUUAUAAAA